UUUAAUGCUUUUCAGAGUCCAUCAGAAGAUAAUUUACAUUUUAGGCUACCUAUUAAGAGUCCAAUUACCUGGGUGCAGUGGUGCACCCCUGUAAUCCCAGUGGCUCUGGAAGCUGAGGCAAGGAGGAUCACGAGUUCAAAGCCAGCCUCAGCAAAAGUGAGGCACUAAGCAACUCAGUGAGAUCCUGUCUCUACAUAAAAUACAAAAUAGGGCUGGGGUUGUGGCUCAGUGGUUGAGUGCCCCUGGGUUCAAUCCCUGGUACAGCCCCCCUCCCCAAAAAAAGAAGAAAGAAAACAAAACAAAGAAAAAAAUCCAAAUGGACUAAAAGCUAAAAUAGUUCAAAUCUGAUUGUCAUAUCCACCAAUGUCUACACUGCUGGUUUAAUGCAGAACAUCCAGUUCUUUCAGAGUCCCAGAAUAAAAUUAAAUUUACAGCAAUUUUUCUUAUUAGUAUAUUUGGUAAUAUUCUGCUUAUAUGAAUAUUGGUAAGUCAUGUCAUUGUUACACAUCCAUUCAUUCAGAAAGAGGCAUUUCAGUUCAGCUAUUUGAGAGGAAGUAUGCUAGUUGUUUGGGGUGUGAAUAAAUUAGGAAGGGUCCCUGCUAAAAAUCUAGUACAUUCAAGAGGCUAAAAAUCUAGUACAUUCAAGAGGCUAAAAAUCUAGUACAUUCAAGCUGGGUCUUUGUACUUGUGUUUUCAUGGUUCUUGGGCCCAGUGGGCAUUUGUCACACUUGGCUAUAAUGUCCUGUUCACAGAUAAUGUGCAAAAAAAGAGGAGAAAGAACAUUAGGAAAAAUUUUUUAAAAAAAUAGCAAAAGGCCUUCAGUCACUUAUAUUGACAACAGCAUCUUAUUUAUUAAAAAUGCAGAUAUUCAGGUCAAAACUCAGUUAAUUGAUAACCGUAACCACACUGAGGUAAAGAAAAUUCAAGAUUCAAGGCAACUGAAAUCAUGAAUAGCUCAUUGCUCAACUUAAUUGUUCUUUCUCCUCUUAAUACCGCCUGUUAACAUUUUGCAAUUGGAAUGUUUUCCAUCUGUGCCUUUACUUGAAUGGUGUGAAUAUAGCUGAUGAAAACUAUUAUCACUCUGUCUUUCAGACUUCGAUCUGCUUUGUGGUGACACGAUUACAAGCAGAAAAAUGUUAGUGCAGUCAUCCACUUGAUGUUAUAUAGUUUUAUGUCCCAGGGUUAGAGUUUCCCAUCUGUACUUCAAACUGCUCUAGUCAUUCUUAUUGUGAUAGGGAAUACCUAGGUAGACACGUGCAGAAAUGUCACCUGUGUGAUUGAUCAUAAUUGUGAAUGCUCUGUUGCGCUCUUUUAAAGAUUCAGGGUAACACUAAAU
rnacentral:lncRNA from 1 species